rnacentral:rRNA from 1 species
AUUGAACGCUGGCGGCAUGCUUUACACAUGCAAGUCGAGCGGCAGCGCGGGGGCAACCCUGGCGGCGAGCGGCGAACGGGUGAGUAAUGCAUCGGAACGUGUCCCGUAGUGGGGGAUAACCCGGCGAAAGCCGGGCUAAUACCGCAUAUGCUCUACGGAGGAAAGGGGGGAUCCGCAAGGACCUCUCGCUAUGGGAGCGGCCGAUGUCCGAUUAGCUUGUUGGUGGGGUAAUGGCUUACCAAGGCGACGAUCGGUAGCUGGUCUGAGAGGAUGAUCAGCCACACUGGGACUGAGACACGGCCCAGACUCCUACGGGAGGCAGCAGUGGGGAAUUUUGGACAAUGGGGGCAACCCUGAUCCAGCCAUGCCGCGUGCGGGAAGAAGGCCU